GACGAACGCUGGCGGCGUGCCUAAUACAUGCAAGUCGAGCGGACCGAACAGGAGCUUGCUCUUGUUCGGUUAGCGGCGGACGGGUGAGUAACACGUGGGUAACCUGCCCGUAAGACCGGGAUAACUCCGGGAAACCGGAGCUAAUACCGGAUAACACCGAAGACCGCAUGGUCUUUGGUUGAAAGGCGGCUUCGGCUGCCACUUACGGAUGGGCCCGCGGCGCAUUGGCUAGUUGGUGAGGUAACGGCUCACCAAGGCGACGAUGCGUAGCCGGCCUGAGAGGGUGACCGGCCACACUGGGACGGAGACACGGCCCAGACUCCUACGGGAGGCAGCAGUAGGGAAUCUUCCGCAAUAGACGAAAGGCUGACGGAGCGACGCCGCGUGAGCGAAGAAGGUCUUCGGAUCGUAAAGCUCUGUUGCUAGGGAAGAAGAAGCGUCGUUCGAACAGGGCGGCGCGGUGACGGUACCUAACGAGAAAGCCCCGGCUAACUACGUG
rnacentral:rRNA from 1 species